rnacentral:rRNA from 1 species
UACGUAGGGUGCGAGCGUUACUCGGAAUUACUGGGCGUAAAGUGUGCGCAGGCGGCCGCGCAAGUCGAGUGUGAAAGCCCCGAGCUUAACUUGGGAACUGCGCUCGAAACUACGUGGCUGGAGUGUGGCAGAGGAAGGUGGAAUUCCACGUGUAGCGGUGAAAUGCGUAGAGAUGUGGAGGAACACCAAUGGCGAAGGCAGCCUUCUGGGCCAACACUGACGCUCAUGCACGAAAGCGUGGGGAGCAAACAGG